AAACGACUCUCGGCAACGGAUAUCCCGGCUCUCGCAUCGAUGAAGAACGUAGCGAAAUGCGAUACUUGGUGUGAAUUGCAGAAUCCCGUGAACCAUCGAGUCUUUGAACGCAAGUUGCGCCCGAAGCCACUAGGCCGAGGGCACGUCUGCCUGGGUGUCACGC
rnacentral:rRNA from 3 species